rnacentral:rRNA from 1 species
CCCUCUGAACUUAGGCAUAUCAAUAAGCGGAGGAAAAGAUACUAACAAGGAUUCUCCUAGUACCUGCGAGUGAAGAGGGAAGAGCUCAAAUUUGUAAUCUGGCCUGCCUCUGGUCGUCCGAGUUGUAGUCUAAAGAAGCGUCUUCCGUGCUGGGCCGUGUACAAGUCCCUUGGAACAGGGCAUCAUAGAGGGUGAGAAUCCUGUCUCAGACGCGGACUACCGAGGGUAUGUGAUGCGCCCUCAGAGACUCCAGUUGUUUGAGAAUGCAAUUCAAAAUGGGUGGUAAAUUUCAUCUAACAGCUAAAUAUAGGCGAGAGACCGAUAGGCGAACAAGCUCCGUGAGGGAAAGAUGAUAAAGAACUUUGGAAAGAGAGUUAAACAGUACGUGAAAUUGCAUGAAAGGGAAACGCUUGGAGUCAGUCGCUUCGCCGAGGAUUCAGCCGGGCUUCUGUUCGGUGUAUUUUCUGGUUGGAUGGGUCAGCAUCGAUUUCAGUUGCGGGAAAAAGGCGUGAGGAAUGUGGCACCUUUGGGUGUGUUAUACCCUCGCGUCACGCCCGUGGCCGCGAUCGAGGACCGCAGCGCGCCCCGCAAGGCGUCGAGGCUUGCCUACGAAACGCGCUUAGGAUGCUGUGCGUAAUGGCUCUAAGCUGACCCGUCUUGAAACACGG